rnacentral:rRNA from 1 species
GUGACGAAGCGACGCCGCGUGUGGGAAGAAGGCCUUCGGGUUGUAAACCACUGUCGGGAGUUAAGAAGUGUAAGGGGGUGAAUAGUCCUCUUGCUUGACGUUAGCUCCGGAGGAAGCCACGGCUAACUCUGUGCCAGCAGCCGCGGUAAUACAGAGGUGGCAAGCGUUGUUCGGAAUUAUUGGGCGUAAAGAGCACGUAGGCGGCCCUACAAGUCAGCUGUGAAAUCCUUCUGCUCAACGGAAGAACGGCAGUUGAUACUAUAGGGCUCGAGUGCGGGAGGGGAGAGUGGAACCUCUGGUGGAGCGGUGAAAUGCGUAGAUAUCAGAAGGAACAUCGGCGGCGAAAGCGACUCUCUGGCCCGUAACUGACGCUGAGGUGCGAAAGCUAGGGGAGCAAACGGGAUUAGAUACCCCGGUAGUCCUAGCCGUAAACGAU